UACAGAGGUCUCAAGCGUUGUUCGGAUUCAUUGGGCGUAAAGGGUGCGUAGGCGGCGCGGUAAGUCGGGUGUGAAAUCUCGGAGCUUAACUCCGAAACUGCAUUCGAUACUGCCGUGCUUGAGGACUGGAGAGGAGACUGGAAUUUACGGUGUAGCGGUGAAAUACGUAGAUAUCGUAAGGAAGACCAGUGGCGAAGGCGGGUCUCUGGACAGUUCCUGACACUGAGACACGAAGGCCAGGGGAGCAAACGGG
rnacentral:rRNA from 1 species